GAUGAACGCUGGCGGCGUGCCUAAUACAUGCAAGUCGAGCGAACGGACGAGAAGCUUGCUUCUCUGAUGUUAGCGGCGGACGGGUGAGUAACACGUGGAUAACCUACCUAUAAGACUGGGAUAACUUCGGGAAACCGGAGCUAAUACCGGAUAAUAUUUUGAACCGCAUGGUUCAAAAGUGAAAGACGGUCUUGCUGUCACUUAUAGAUGGAUCCGCGCUGCAUUAGCUAGUUGGUAAGGUAACGGCUUACCAAGGCAACGAUGCAUAACCGACCUGAGAGAGUGAUCGGCCACACUGGAACUGAGACACGGACCAGACUCCUACGGGAGGCAGCAGUAGGGAAUCUUCCGCAAUGGGCGAAAGCCUGACGGAGCAACGCGGCGUGAGUGAUGAAGGCCUUCGGAUCGUAAAACUCUGUUAUUAGGGAAGAACAUAUGUGUAAGUAACUGUGCACAUCUUGACGGUACCUAAUCAGAAAGCCACGGCUAACUACGUG
rnacentral:rRNA from 1 species